rnacentral:rRNA from 1 species
UGAAACGAGGUGCCAGCGCGCGCGGUAAGAGGGAGGGGGUUAGGGGUAAUCGGAAUUACGGGUCGUAAAGUGUGCGCAGGCGGCCGCGCAAGUCGAGUGUGAAAGGCCCGGGCGUAACUUGGGAAGUGCGCGCGAAACUACGUGGCUGGAGUGUGGCAGAGGAAGGUGGAAUUCCAGGUGUAGCGGUGAAAUGCGUAGAGAUCUGGAGGAACACCGAUGGCGAAGGCAGCCUUCUGGGCCAACACUGACGCUCAUGCACGAAAGCGUGGGGAGCAAACAGGAUUAGAUACUCGUGUAGUC